CCGCAGAGGGCAGAGAUUAGCGAUGUCUACCACAGCUUCACGCCCAGGAAACGCGCUGUAUCUGCACCGUCCAGUAGGGAUGGCAUCAGGCACGUGGGGUCACUGAGUCCUGGAGGUGCACACGGUGCAGCCGGCUUCUCAUGCCAUUCAACUUUGGAUAAAUUUAAAUAUCAAUAGCUAUGUGUGACUCAUGCUGGACAGUAGAUGUAGAAAGUUUCCAUCAUCACAGAAGACUCUGCUGGUCGGUGCUGGUCUAGAGGGAGCAGUCAGGGUCCUGGGGAGUGAAGGGAGAUCCCCACAGUGGACGUGGGAGGACUCAGAGCCUUCUCUGUCCAGCUCAGGACUCUAACUCCUCCUCCUUCUGAUUCCUCCCUCCCAGGACCCACGCAGAGGCCGUCGGACAACAGUCACAAUGAGCGUGAGUGAUGGGGGCCGUGGAGCAUGAAGCUGGUGUGUGCCUCUUGGGGAAGGAGAAAGAGGUCAGGCUUUGGGGUUGAUCAGAUUCCUGCUCUGCCAAUGGCCGUCUGUGUCACUGUGCAGAGGACUCCAGCACUCAGGACCCCGGUGGUGGAAGAAGGGGAUAACGAUCCCUGUGCUGCAGGACUAUUAUUUACCUAAGAUAUUUUAUAUAUUAGUAAGUCUAUGAAACGCACAUGAAAUGUGUGUGGUAUACAGUAGGUGCUCAAUAAAUGCGCACUGCUGAAAUCCUGUUUCUGUCUUUCUUAGAUGCACCUGCUUCCCAAGGCCUGAAAGCUGAGCAUCUUUAUAUUCUCAUCGGGGUCUCAGUGGUCUUCCUCUUCUGUCUCCUCCUCCUGGUCCUCUUCUGCCUCCAUCGCCAGAAUCAGAUAAAGCAGGGGCCCCCCAGAAGCAAGGACGAGGAGCAGAAGCCACAGCAGAGGCCCGACCUGACUGUUGAUGUUCUAGAGAGGACAGCAGACAAGGCCACAGUCAAUGGACUUCCUAAGAAGGACAGAGAGACGGACAGCUCGGCCCUGGCUGCAGGGAGUUCCCAGGAGGUGACGUAUGCUCAGCUGGACCACUGGGCCCUCACACAGAGGACAGCCCGGGCUGUGUCCCCACGGUCCACAAAGCCCAUGGCCGAGUCCAUCACGUAUGCAGCCGUUGCCAGACACUGACCCCAUACCCACCUGGCCUCUGCACCUGAGGGUAGAAAGUCACUCUAGGAAAAGCCUGAAGCAGCCAUUUGGAAGGCUUCCUUUUGGAUUCCUCUUCAUCUAGAAAGCCAGCCAGGCAGCUGUCCUGCAGACAAGAGCUGGAGACUGGAGGUUUCUAACCAGCAUCCAGAAGGUUCAUUAGCCAGGUGGUCCCUUCUACAAUCGAGCAGCUCCUUGGACAGACUGUUUCUCAGUUAUUUCCAGAGACCCAGCUACAGUUCCCUGGCUGUUUCUAGAGACCCAGCUUUAUUCACCUGACUGUUUCCAGAGACCCAGCUAAAGUCACCUGCCUAUUCUAGAGACCCAGCUACAGCCAAUCAGCCGAUUUCCUGAGCAGUGAUGCCACUUCCAAGCUUGUCCUAGGUGUCUGCUGUGAACCUCCAGUGACCCCAGAGACUUUGCUGUAAUUAUCUGCCCUGCUGACCCUAAAGACCUUCCUAGAAGUCAAGAGCUAGCCUUGAGACUGUGCUAUACACACACAGCUGAGAGCCAAGCCCAGUUCUCUGGGUUAUGCUUUACUCCAUGCAUCAAUAAAUAAUUUUGAAGGCCUCACA
rnacentral:sRNA from 1 species